AACCUAUAUAUUUGUCACUUUUUCUUCAAAAUAUUGCGUCCUGGUUAGAAGCAGAUUUGAAAGAUCCUACAUUUCUUGUUGCAAUUCAAGCCACAAUGAAGAUUGUCAUCGUAUUUCUCCUGGUGUGCCUAAUUCUGGAGAGCUCAUCCAAGCCAGAUGGAAAAGAAAACGAUGAUGACAAAAACGGAAACAAUGGCAAUGACGACAACGGAAAUGGCAACGACGGGAACGACGAUAAUGGAAACGACGACGGUGGAGACAAUAACAAAGGGAGCGGAUCCACAAAUAGCAGGGGAAAUUAAUACAGUGAGCGGAUCCACAGAAAACAGGAAAUAGAAUUGAUACAAUCUACCGAUGCAGACAAAGUCAUUUGAUUGCUUUUAAUUAUUUAAUGAAAGUGUUUACAUAUUACAUCUGCGUUACAAAAUUGAAAAAUUAUGUUUGCGUAAUGAAUUUAACAAUGUCUGUUCACAAUACAACAGAUCAAUAAAUACAUA